rnacentral:rRNA from 1 species
AGCGAACGCUGGCGGCGUGCUUAACACAUGCAAGUCGAGCGAGAAAGGGGGCUUCGGCCCCUGAGUACAGCGGCGAACGGGUGCGUAAUACAUGAGUAAUCUACCCUUGAGGCGGGAAUAACCCAGCGAAAGUUGGGCUAAUACCGGAUAAGACCACAAGAGGAGACCCUAGAGGUUAAAGGCAGCUUUCUUUUGGGAGCGGCCCUUCGAGGAGGAGCUCAUGUCCUAUCAGCUAGUGGUAGGGUAACGGCCUACCAAGGCGAAGACGGGUAGCUGGUCUUAGAGGAUGAUCAGCCACACGGGGACUGAGACACGGCCCCGACUCCUACGGGAGGCAGCAGGUGGGGAAUAUUGGGCAAGUGGGACGAAAGCCUGACCCAGCGACGCCGCGUGGGUGAUGAA